rnacentral:rRNA from 1 species
GGGUGAGUAACGCGUGGGUGACCUACCUUCGAAUGGGGGAUAACGUCCCGAAAGGGACGCUAAUACCGCAUAACAUCCUGCUUUUGAACAGGCGGAGAUCAAAGCCGGGGAUCCGCAAGACCUGGCGUUUGAAUGAGGGGCCCGCGUCUGAUUAGCUAGUUGUGAGGUAACGGGCCACCGAAGGCGACGAUCAGUAUCCGGCCCUGAGAGGGCGGACGGCCGCCUUGGGACUGAGACAGGUCCAAAUUCAAAGGGAGGCAGGCAGUAGGGGAAUUGUUCGCAAUGGGCGCAAGCCUGACGAUGCAAUGCCGCGUGGAGGGGAUGAACGGUCUUCGGAUUGUCAAACUCCUUGUUGCCCGGGAGGAAUGGCUUUCCAACCUAAUACGUUGGAGUGUGACGGGUACCGGGUGAGGGAAGGCCCCGGCUUACUCUGUGCCAGCCGCC